UUCAUCUUAAUAGUUUAUAUGUUAUAUAUUUUUACAAUAUUUAUUUCAAAUUGUCAUAAACAUUUUCAAUGUUUCUUAUACAUUGUUUUUUUUUAGGUAAAACAGUUGUAUUAAUUGGCGGUAAAAAUCUAACUGAUACAAUUAAAAAUAUUUCGCUCUUACUGUCAACAGACACUAUUUUGUCAGAAUACAGCAUGAAUUGUCUAAAGAAGAAAAAAAAGUUUAAAUAGUUGACAUGUCUAUGUUACGCUGUCACUGAAGCUGCUUUAAAGUCAAAUAAAA